CAGAAACACAGAUCAUCACAAUGGAGCCAUGACUGCUAAGGCUAAUUAGCAUGGCCACCGGUGACGGUGGAUAAAUGGUUUUCCGGUCACGGACAUCGACAAAGGACGAUGAAGGACAGCGACAACCGAAAGUCAUCGCCACUCGGAGUGAAACUGAACACACAAGAAGACAAUAAAACACAGAGCUCUGCAGCUGCUGAGCUGCCCCCACGCAAACGCGCGCCGUCUGCUCAGCAGGACUCCUUUUCAAAGACGCCACCAACCUGAAUGAGCGAUGGAGACGGAUGAGGAGGAAGUGCAACGACAGACGGAGUGACUGGAGCCUGCAAGAUGCAGCGAUUCAGUGAGUCAGGAAAACGCAGUGAAUAGCUGCAGAAUUGUACAUGUAAAGUUUAAUAUUUCCACUCAAAGCGUAAUUUCACUGAGAGAAGUUUGUUACUGUUGAUGUCGUCAAACUCGAUUCAGACCGUUUGAGUGUGUAAAAUGAAAAUGUAUGGGGCUCUUGACAAUGACACAGCCGCUGUGCAAAGGAAAUAAAGAAAUACAUUUACACAGGAGCAAAUCAGUCUGGAGGAGGUGUGAUAGGAGGCAGC